UCUGAUUUCUUUCCCCACCCAGAACACCGGCCUGUAAUUAGUGCCUGUCUCUGUAGUACGCAAAACCAAACUUUAUAAACUACAGGGCGCAAGUAAUGCCUAAUCUGUUUGAGAUGCUCUGUGUCAGGAUCUAGGCUAGCUGAGGCGGCAAAGUAGCCUUGUCCCUGAAUUUAAGGCUACUUUUGAACUCUAAGGAGAGAAGGCCUAACUUUGCACAAACUCUAGUGUGCAGGCCGUGUCCGAGCCCAGCUCAGCUGAUCAGCGUGACCUUGGAGGAGCUGCUUGCCAUCUUCACCAGUGUGCUGGGGCGCUCGCCCUUUCUCCUUGUUGUUUCCCAUCACGACGUGGCCGUCAGGGGUUCCAAGAAGCUGGAAUGAGAGUAGUGCCUUCUCCGCCUCCAGGAUGUAAUCUGAGGUAAGAGGGAGAGUGUGAGGGGCCUUCACCUCCACCCUCCAUCCCUUCCACCCAUCACGAUACACAAAGCAACCACACCUUUUUCUUUUCCUUUUUUUUUUUAAAUCAGCAUCAUCAUAAUAAAUAAUAUUUAUAAUAUUUUUUAAAAUGUUAC
rnacentral:lncRNA from 1 species